rnacentral:rRNA from 1 species
AGCGAACGCUGGCGGCAUGCUUAACACAUGUAAGUCGCACGGGCAGCAAUGUCAGUGGCGGACGGGUGAGUAUCGCGUAGGAAUGUAUCCUGAGGUGGGGGACAACCCUGGGAAACUGGGGCUAAUACCGCAUAUGGACUGAGGUCCAAAGCCGUGAGGCGCCUUGGGAGCAGCCUGCGUCCGAUUAGGUAGUUGGUGGGGUAAAGGCCUACCAAGCCUGCGANCGGUAGCUGGUCUGAGAGGACGAUCAGCCACACUGGGACUGAGACACGGCCCAGACUCCUACGGGAGGCAGCAGGU